AUUUGAUGAUGUGGGCAUUGUAUUUGAAGAUCAUUAAAUCUAUCCCAAGCUUCAUAAAAUUUUUCAUUAGGUUCUUGUAUAAAUAUUUGAAUUCUAUUUCGAAUAUU
rnacentral:snoRNA from 1 species